CAAACCAGCAUCCUGAAAGCCAUUGAGUCAGUCUUUGAAGAGGCAGCCCUUGCUUCAAAGCACCUUUAAAAAUGUGGCUCUUCUGUGACUUGGAAAUGCUUCCGCUAAGAUUGAACAUGGAAAAGUGCUGAUAGUGGGGCUUUGCCCCUUCAAUGUAUUAGAAAGGCCAGGAUGACUGUCUGGUGUCUGGCGCCUGCAGGAAUCGGGGACGGAGGAAGCCGCAGCAGUAAAACGGCAGAGACCACGGGCCGGGACGCUGUUGGCAGGUGCCGCUGCCCGGGCUGGAGGAAGG